rnacentral:lncRNA from 1 species
GGCUGCACCUGUGGCAUAUGGAUGUUCCCAGGCUUGGGGUCAAAUCAGAGCUGUAGCUACUGGCCUACACCUCAGCCACAGCAACACGGAAUCCGAGCUGCAUCUGCAACCUACACUGCAACUUAUUGUGACACUGGAUCCCCAAGCCACUGAGCAAGGCCAGGGAUUGAACCUGUAUCCUCAUGGAUACUAGUCGGAUCCAUCUCCACUGCGCCAAAACAGCAACUCCCCAUGCUGCUUAUUUAUUUUUUAAGUGAUUUUUAUUUUUUCCAUUAUAGUUGGUUUACAGGUUUUUUUCCUAAUGAUUUUUAUUAUGCUGCUCAUUUUUAUGUUCAACUUUCUAUCUCACUGUUUUCCAACUUACGCAAGUGGCUUAUCUUUCUGCUCCCUGGCAGGUCAGUGCAGGGUGUCAGGGGCCCAUGUCAAGCCCUCGCUUCUUGUUACCUGCUCUCUGGCUUGAGUCAGACAGGCCCUGGUGAUGAAUUGCCUGAGACACUACUUGUCUCAGAAAUGAUCCCAGAGCAGAGGGUGGCUUGAGGAACUCCUAGGGGGUUGGGACCCUCCAGCCAUGACCUGGCUGGGAAAAGGCUCCUGUGCUGCAAAUGCCAUGCUUCGGCUGGCUUGACCCACCUGUGGACCAAGAGGAUCCCGGGUGGAGAGGCAUGAGCAGUGGAAGCACCUCCUCUGCCUUUCAUUUCUCUUGCUCUGAAAAGAACUGGAAAUUGUUAUAAUGGGUCAAAAGCCUGCUGAUGUCAAGGGCCACUUGCUCCGUGCUGGACAUUAUGCUGGGAGCUUUGCAGGUGCAACGUCAUCUGUUCCUCCCAAAGAUCUUGACAGAGGAGUUAUCACCCCUCCACACACACACCAUUUUACAGAUGAGGCAGCUGAGACUCUAAAAUAUCAUGAGGUCACAGAGAGAGUGAAUCAAGAACUGAGAUUCACCUCCAUUUCUACCUAGAAUCCUUUCCAGCAGAACCAGGUUUCCCACAGGGCAAGUUCAGUCUCUUCAAGGGAAAUAAAAUUAGUUUAGAUGGUUUGAAACUAAAAUGAUUAAAAUAAAAAAUGGAACGGAUUAGACUAGAAUAAAGUAGAAUGGAAAAAUGGAGUGCAUCCUGGGUAGUAGGCUCAAUACUAUUUCAUGACACUUCCCAUAUAUGUAUGGUAUUUUUCAUUAUGCACAGAAACAUGAGUAUGUGUACUGAAGUUUAUAAAAUGCAUUUUUUUUUUUACUGUGGAUAAUAGUCCUCUUUUUUUUUUUUUUUUUUUUUGAAAAACACUUCUGGAACUCAGCUAGGGCAUUUUCAGGAGAUACUCCUAUCUUUUCUCCUUUCUUCAAGAAUUUACUCUGAUCAGUCACCACUCACAGUACAACUGUCUGCAAACCCAAUGCAUUUUCUGUCUUUAUUAUCUAUCUUUGUCAUUUUACAUUUGACCUGAUUAGCCUCAAUUCAGUUCCACUCAGUUCAAUUCAUAUCCAAUACCUUCAAUUCCAGUGAUAAAACUUGAGUGCCGGCUUUGGGUUCGUCUCAUACAAAGAGAUAAAUGUAAGUUUAUGAGCCAUAGUGCAAUAUCUCAAAUUCAUUUUCUUUUGUCCAAAACACAAACUUAAUUCCCUCUAGCUUUUAAAAGAAGACAACAUGUCUCAUUAUUCUGGAGUUUGCCUUUCCUGGCCAUUUUUGUGAGCUGGAAUGCAAUAUGAAGUUAAAGCACCAGGUUUGGGGGCAAAAGGCUCAAGUUCAAAUUCAGAGACAAAGCCUGAAUAGUGCUUCAGGCAGUGGGUAGGCACACAGAAAAUGCCCAGUGCAUCAUAGACGAUCAACCACAUUCCCCAUAUUGUCUAAAAUUUCCCAUUCCUCCCAAUCAGCCAGGCCUGAACCAGAUAUAACACAUUUAAAAAUUUAUUCUACCUACUGUACAGCACAGAGAACUAUAUCCAAUCUCUUAGUAUAGAACAUAGUGGAAAAUAAUAUGAGAAAAAUAGUGUAUGUAUAUGUAUGCCUGGGUCACUGUACAGCAGAAAUUGACUCCACAUAGUAAAUCAACUAUACGUUAAUAAAAAAAAAUUGAAAAAUAAAUAAAAAAAAAUUCACUCUGCUCUCAGGUUGAAGAAAUUCAUGGUGAUAGGAUGGAGGCCCUGACUGCCAAUCAGAUUCUUGCAAGUGUCCUACCCUGGAGUGAGGACCUCUGCCCACAGGGAAGGCCUGCCGAUGGGGGGCAGGGCAGACUCCUACAGAAGCAGCGAGGACACUGGUUUUCAGCUCCUGUACAUUUUCUUCAAAGAUGGAAACUGCUGUGAUGCCCUGGUUAGUUAGUCUCUGUGUCCUUGCCUUGGACAACCACAGACAGUUUUCCUUAAUCAGUACUUUAGGCCUCCCUGUGGUCUCCCCGACGCACUCUGCCUGAGUGGUGAUAUCUCCUCUUAAGGCUUCUGUCACCAUCUCUCUGCUAUGUCCCCAACCACUUCUCCAGCCCAGCUCUCUUGCUGUCGUCUGGACACAGACACAGAGUGGGCCCCAGGCCCCUUGGAUGCCAUCAUCUCCUUCCUUCAAGCCUCCCUGCUCAGUGAAUGGCCUCACUCUCCUCUGGAUGGCAGAACCAGGAAUCUGGACAUGGCUUUGGUUCUUCCCCUCCCUAUUCAUUCAGUCCCUCAAUAAGGACUGUCCACUCUACUCCAUACAUGUCUCCCCAGUACUUCUCUACCUCCCCAUCUCCACCACCAAGGCCUAGUCAUCAAACUUCACUCACAUCCACCCUCCUUAUGGUAACCUAUGUGAUCUUUCUAAGUGCUGUCAAGUCCUUCUCCAGAUAGAAACUUCAGUGGCUCCCCUGUGCCUGACAUAUGUGGUUCUAUGUAACUCGGGUCCAGCCUCUCUCUCUAUCCAGCCUGGUCAGGGCAUCCAUGUAGCCUUGACCUAUCUGUCCUCUCUCUUCCACAAUCCAUGCUGUAAACACACACACACACACACACACACACACACACACACUUCUGACCACUUCCCAUGUACUAUCAUGCACCUCCAUCAGCCUUGUGUCCUUCUGUAGUCAACCUCUGUUUCCUAACCUGCUUCCUCUGCUAGAUGUGAUUCCCAAUUAAUUAAUAAGGCUCUGCCUUAGUCAUCCGGAGAAUCAGAGACUGAAUCAGCACUGGGGCCUGGCCCAGCAAGGCCUUGGGGGCGAAGCUUUGUAGGAAAAGCCAGUCCCAGGAGUACCGCCCAGGUGACCCUGCUCUUUCUAAUGUCCCAUCUUCCUACCAGAUGUUUUCUUACUCUCUGCAGCUAUAGAGGGGGAGGAGAGUAGUAGGAAUAUACAUGUCAUGAGGAUUGUGUGGCAAUUUUGUCUUUAUCACAGAGCUAAAUGUAGUAUGUAAAAGAAGAAAAACAAACAAGCUGAAAUGGUUAGACUAAAUAUAUGAAGCUACAAGGGUUUUCUUAAAUGCACUAGUCAAAAUAAAGCAUAAAUUCUUCAUGCUGAAUGUUUAAGGCAUACAAAUUCCAACUAAUUUGCAGCAAAACAAUUAUGUACAUAUGAUAACUUAAGGGAAAUAAAUUAAUCUGUUUUCCCCCUAGUUUCUAGAAUCAGUUGUGAAAAUACCUUCAAAUUCCAGUGUCUUAAAAACAAGAUAUUUUUUUAAAAAAAAUUCUAUUGGAGUAUAGUUGACUUACAAUGUUGUAUUUGUUUCAGAACAAAAUACCUAGGAAUAAACCUACCCAAAUAGACAAAAGAUUCUGAAAACUAUAAUAUGCUGAUGAAAGAAAUCAGUGACACAAGUUGAUGGCAAGAUAUACUAUGCUUUUGUUUUGGAAGAAUCCAUAUUAUCAAAAUGACUAUACUACCCAAGGCAAUCUAAAGAUGCAGUGCAAUCCCUGUCAAGUUGCCAACAACAUUCUUCACAGAUACAGAACAAAAUAUUAAAAAAUUUUUGUCUUUUGUCUUUUUAGGGCCACAUCAGUGGCAUAUGGAGGGUCUCAGGCUAGGGAUUGAAUCAGAGCUGUAGCUGCCAACCUAUACCACAGCCACAGCAGUGGGAGAUCCAAACCAAGUCUGUGACCUAUACCACAGCUCAUGGCAAUGCCAGAUCCUUAACCCAUUGAGCAGGAGUGGGGAUCGAGCCCACACUUUCAUGGAGGCUUCUUUAACCACUGAGCCAUGAUGGGAACUCCCAAAAUAUUUUAAAAUUUUUGUGGAAACACAAAAGACCCUGAAAAGUCAAAGCAAUACUGAAACAGAAAAGUGGAAGUGGAGGAAUCAGGCUCCCUGACUUAAGUCUCUACUACAAAACUACAGUUAUUAAAACAGUAUGGUACUGGCUCAAAAACAGCAAUAUAGAUCACUGGAAUAGGAGACAAAGCCCAGAAAUAAACCCAAGCACCUAUGAUUAACUAAUCUAUGAAAAAGCAGGCAAGAACAUACAGUGGAGGGAGGACAGUUUCUUCAAUAAGUGAUGCUGGGAAAACUGGACAGAUACAUGUAAAAAAUGAAAUUAGAACACUCUCUAACACCAUACAGAAAAAUAAACUCAAAAUGGACCAAGGACCUAAGCAUAAGGCCAGGUACUAUAAAACUUCUAGAGGAAAACCUAGGCAGAACACCAUUUAACAUAAAUCACAGCAAUCUUUGAUCCACCUUCUUUGAUCCACCGCCUAGAAUAAUGAAAAUAAAAACAGAAAUAAACCAGUGUGACCUAAUUAAACUUAAAAGAUUUUGCACAGCAAAGGAAACCAUUAAAAAAAUGAAAGGACAACCCACGGAAUGGGAAAAGAUCUUUGCAAAUCAAAUGACUGACCAGGGAUUAAUUCCCAAAUAUUCGAACAUCUCAUGGAGAUUUAUAUUUUAAAAAAAAUCAAAAAAUAGGCAGAAAAUCUAAAUAUACAUUUCUCCAAAGAAGACAGGUGGCCAAAAAUCACAUGAAAAGAUGUUCAACAUCACUAAUUAUUGGAGCAAUGCAACUCAAAACUACAAUGAGGUAUCACCUUGCACCAGUCAGAAUGGCCAUUAUCAAAAA